GUUUUGAUUGCUUGUUGCCAUUACCCCAGGUGCAUACCUUGUCCUGAAUGACCUCGCAUUUACAUGUCUGGGCUUUGAAAUGUUGGGGGGUGUUAAUGUUUCUUUUUAAUUUUUAUUUGUUUAUUUAACAUUUAAACCAGGGAAAGAUAUUAUUUAAAAUUUUCACCAUGCAUACUUGACUGGGUGAAGAAAUGAACAUGUUCCUCUUUUUGAGAUUCACUCUCACUGUGUGUCUUUGCUGCUGGGUUUCAGUUAAUUAUGUGGUCAGCACUCCCAAUCCUGAUGGCAUGGGGGAGUUCUCCAGCAUCGAGGCAGAGCUGUCAGAGAGGACAUGGGGUGGUGAGCUAUGGCUGGUCUCCUUAAUGCAGGUUGCCUGCCCAUUGCCUGCUCCCUCCUUCCAGGUGCAGUGUGCUGGUCAUGACAGCAACAGCUCACAUGACUUGAUAGGCACUUUGGGAAUGACCCUGGCAGAGAGGCAGACAGCUGGUGCCUGCUCUCUGGUGGAAUUCGAAUGCAUUCAUUCUGAGAAAAAAACAAAAGAAGAGGAAUUACAAUAAUUCUGGCAUUAUUCGGAUAAAAUCCUGCAAGGCUCCCCAGGAAGCACUUUCCCAGAGGGUUCUGGCUGAAGUGCCUAAGCAGCUGGUGUCAUACUAUAAAUGGCAGGGGUGACCCCCUGUGGAACUGCCAGAAGUCAAGGCGAUGCAGAUUCGGGCUGGCCCUGGCCACCUCCAGCACUGGGAUGAAAAGAGCUUCCUGCAGCCAUGCUCUCCCUUGUGCACUGUGGCUGCUCAGUGCCUAGAGAUUGUGCCACUCAUACUACUUCUUUCACUUGCUUGGACACUGAGUCUUUGAUCUUUCCCAUUUUUAUUGGAAGAAAUGUAAAUACAGGAAAACCCCAAGUGCUGAAAGUUUUUGUCACAGAAAAAUUCACCUUGCAACAAUGACACAUGACA